CAGGGUAAGAGGCAAAGAGCCACCAGGUCCCAGCUGAGGAAGCCCUGUGGUCAGCUCAGACAGGAAUUGUGGGAAUUCAAGUUAAUAGGCUUUUAAUGGUUCUGUGAUAACUGUGAUUAUAAACUGUGAAUCAGAUCAGGGAGAGCAUCCAAGUUCAGCUGCAUCUCACGCAAAAAGACACCACCAUUGCUUUUGAUCCUCAGUGGAGAUUUGGUUUUCAAUGUUCAGACACCACCAUCCUUGGGGGAAAAAAAAGAAGAAGAAAGCAAUUCAAGACCCAGACAAUUGGAAGGAUGUACAAAUUAAGCUACAAAACACAGAGAACUAGUGGUGGUCUGCAAAGAAUAGAGACGACCAGACUGGCUGACGGUCAAAUCAUAAAUUUGCAUGUGUUCCAAAAAAGUGUUCUACCGGCAAUCCUCCAAAUUGUAUCAGGUGCUUAAAAUACCACAGUGCAUAAUAGGUGAUCCCUAUUCAAGGGUUCAAGUCGUGACCGAGGAACGCAUCCACAUUUCCACAGAAGCACUGUCAUUCCACCCUGUGGCAGGCAGAGAAGCUUUCCUGUCAGCUCCUAUGGAAUCCACUUUAAUAAGCCUUGCAUUAUGGAAUGUGAAAUCAUAGAAAGCUUAAAGAAUGCUGAGACAUGGUGCUUCGCCUCACCCCAGACUCUUAAGAGGGAAGCCUUACAGUCAAACAAUGAGUAAUAAUAAACCUCUAAGUUCCAGUAAAAUUCCUGAUAAGAUCUUUAAGCAGGAAGGCCAUGACCAGCUAAAGUGUCUUUAUGGGUUCCUCUAAACACAGUCGUGAAAUUUUCAAAGCUUCCACCCUCAGGAAUCAGACUCAAAAGAAAUAAAUUGUGUG
rnacentral:lncRNA from 1 species